GAAGAACAUCUGUGAACAAACCAAGAUCCGCCACCCUCCCCACACCCCGCCAACUUUGGAGCUUACAUUCUAGGAGAAGACACAGAAAAUAAUCAGUAAACAUAAUAAGUAAUGGAAUUAUGUCGGAAGUGUACUAUGAGCCAGGCAUGGAGAGAGCUGCUAAGAAUAAAGCACAGAGUGCCACGGUGUGGAUGGACCCAGAGGACACUGUGUGCAGUGACAGAAGACAGACACAGAAGCUUGUAUGCCUUGACGAAGCAAGCUGAGAUGCCGGAGAGGCCCACACUGCAAGGGGCUGAGGAUGACCGCCAGCCAACAGUCAGCAGACCUUCAGGGCAAGAGCCUGUUAAAUUAUUGGAUCCUGCCAACAUCAUGAAUGAUCAUGGAAGGGGGUCCUGUCUCAGUCAUGCCUUCCGAUGACUGCUGCUCAGUGGGCACCUUGAUUAUAGACUUUGAGAGACCCUGAAGCUGAGGGACCUGGAUUCCUAAUCCACAAAAACUAUGGGAUAACAAAUGUUGCUGUUUCAAAGCCACUAAGUUGGGGGGGGGGGGUAGUUUGUUAGGUAGAAGGUAACUAGGUAAUGCACAUACGUAAAGGAAAAACUACCGGCUGUACUAAAUGCCCUGAAGAGGGGGGCCUGGGUGGUUCAGUCCGUUAACCAUCCGACUUCAGCUCAGGUCGUGAUCUCACAGUUCACGGGUUCA